ensembl:lncRNA
UACCGGAUCACCUGAGCAUUAAAAAAAAAAAAAACAGCUCACUUACAUGUCAAUCAUUCUUACUAGAAACCACAACUAAACAUUUUUAAAAAUAAUGAAAAAUGUUGUAAUGGGAUAUUUAAGUAAAUUACACUCCUCCACAGGACUAAAGCACUGUUAUACCGGAUCACCUGAGCAUUAAAAAAAAAAAACAGCUCACGUACAUGUCAAUCAUUCUUACUAGAAACCACAACUAAACAUUUUAAAAUUAAUGAAAAAAUGUUGGAAUGGGGUCUUUAAGUAAAAUAUUGUAAAAGACUAUGGGCUUCCACAGCUGAUUAACAUUUUUGACCCAAGCUCGCGCGGGCGGAGUGCGCGUCCCCGGAGCGCGUUCCCGUCCACGCGGCGCGCUUCCACUUUAAGGAGGCGGGAGGCGGAUCCAGGCGCAGAGCGUGGUGUGUUUCUGAGCCAGCCUGGAGCAGCACAUGGAGAAGAUUCAGCAGCUCCACACUUAUCUCCUUCAGCACGGCGAGGAGAGGCGAGGACGGCGUGACGGGGAAUGAAUGAAAGUUUGGCUUCAGCCAGUUUGACUGACAGGUCGAGCCGCGCGCCCCGCACGCGUUCUUCCCUCGUCACGCGUCUCUCGACUAUUUAUAUCAGCAGGCUGUAAAUGCGGCAGCGCUGGAGACUCCCGUCUGCUGUGGAGAAGCGCGGAGCUCUGUGAGAGAGCUGGAGAUCCGGGGACAGCCUCUCUGACUGGAGCUCACAGAGGAACAACAGAAACACUGACAUGGACCUGCUGAUAGGAGCUGACUGACUGACUGAUCGACUGAAUGAUAUGGCAGCUUCCAGUAACUCCAGUCUUUCAGGUUCCUCCCUCUCUUCUGUUUAUUUUCACAGCUUCUGCGAUGGAUCUUACGAAUAUAUCUAUGCCAAUGGAAAGGCGGUCUGGAAGGGAGGUGCAUCCUGGUGUAUUGCUAUCUUGGCAAUGGAAAACACAGGUGCGCCACUGACUGAAUAUAACCUAGCCUCUUGUUGCCAUUAAAAUGCCACCAUUAAA